rnacentral:lncRNA from 1 species
AAACAGCUUAUUGGGAGGUGCGGGGAGGGAGAGGGGGUGCUGAUCGGCGGGGCUGACGGUGGGCGGGAGGCACUGGGAGCGGAGGGGGGGCGGUACCAGUGAAAAUUCAGAUUCCGUUUGCUCAAUGCACAGCAGUUUAUUGGAGAAUCACAUAAGCAGUAAAAGGUUGUUGUGUGCAGCACCAAUAUCACCGUAAUGUGCGGCACCAGUACAAACAAAACCCCCUAGAUAUCUAUUUGUAAACAGUUUAUAGCUCUGGAAGAAAGAAUAUUAAAACAAGGAAUAAUUAAGGAGGGGCUCGGCUUAAGAUGUUUAUUUAAUAUGAAAUCAAAUAAAAAGAAAGUUGGAGUACAUGGAUUUUAUCAUCCUUUCUAACAACUCAAGCUUGUAAACACACCAAAAUGGGGCACACUGAAAACAGCUAUGUAAAUAAAACAAAGACAUGGCCAUUAAGUGAAAGCAUAAAAAAUAUGCCCCAGAGGCCCAGUUGAAUAAUCUUCUCCUACCAUCGAGCACUAAACCUUCAGGGAAAGCUGCUCUUGAAAAAUGAAGCAUCUGCCAACACACUAGCACGUUAUGGACUUUUGCAGGUCACAAAACUGUCCUCUUGCAUGCACAUUAUCUGCACACACCGCUCAGCUUUAAGAUGCUAAACAACUCUCUGAGUCAACUAGAAAUAGUCACGCUCUCAUCGCAAAUAUUAACACAAUCUUUUCUGAUGCUGGAAAGGACAGUAAAAGGCAUUCACUCAGACUUAUACAAUUUCUCUGGGAUGUCAACUUGUAAUGUGAUUAAUAUGUCACACACGUUGAACAGUAACAAUAAGUAAUAAAGCAACACAGAGAGCAACAGACCCACAAACAAACAAGUGACACCACUGAGAAUACGAAGGGAAGAAAAACAUCAAGUGGUUGGUUAUGGGGAUUUUACAUGAGUGUUUAGGACCCACGCUGUGCAAGUGCAACAGAGCCCUGUACAAACAGGCAAAGUUCUCCUGGUUUCACAUAUGUGUGUGUGUGUGUGUGUGUGUGUGUGUGUGUGUGUGUGUGUGUGUGUGUCACCAACUCAGAGUCGACUCAUUAAGUUUUUGCAAGCCCCAGAGCACAUUAACACAUGACCUCAGAGUUUGCAGACAGAUCCCCGCUUCAAAGAGUUUGCAGGUAAGGUCUUUAUCCUACAAAACACGUAGCACCAAACCUAGUACUACUUGCUCCUUAUGAGUCAAUGGAAGUACUCUGAAGAGCCAGAACUAUACCAGCUAGCAAAGAUCUGGCCUUAAUGGUUCCCAAUACCUCUCCCCAAACAAAAGUCAUGGAAAUCGCUUGUCUGGAGGCGUCUCUCUGGCCACCAGCAGGGUGACAAGUGAUCUCCAUUCAGUUGUAGAAUUUGUUUGGGGAGAGGAUGGGAGGAACAGACUGAGGAGUGCAGGGGGUUGGUAAGCGGCGCAGAAGCUGCUGCGCG